rnacentral:rRNA from 1 species
UUAAAUUUUAUUUAUUAAUUUAAUUAGUUCUUGUUUAAAAUAUUAAAAAUAAUUUUAUAAAAGAAAGUUUUAGUAUUGUUUAAAGAAAAAAUAAUUUUAAUAAUAGUUUAAUAGUAUUGUAAAAGAAAAUUGAAAUAUUUUGAAAAAUUAUUAUUUUAAAAGAAAAUUU